rnacentral:rRNA from 1 species
AGCAGCCGCGGUAAUUCCAGCUCCAAUAGCGUAUAUUAAAGUUGUUGCAGUUAAAAAGCUCGUAGUUGAAUUUCGGGGUCAGUAGGUUGGUCAUGCCACUGGUAUGUACUGGUCUCACUGAUUCCUCCUUCCUGAUGAACUGUAAUGCCAUUAAUUUGGUGUUGCAGGGAAUCUGGACUGUUACUUUGAAAAAAUUAGAGUGUUUAAAGCAGGCUAACGCCUGAAUACAUUAGCAUGGAAUAAUGAAAUAGGACGUUCGAUCCUAUUUUGUUGGUUUCUAGGAUUGACGUAAUGAUUAAUAGGGAUAGUUGGGGGCAUUAGUAUUCAAUUGUCAGAGGUGAAAUUCUUGGAUUUAUUGAAGACUAACUACUGCGAAAGCAUUUGCCAAGGAUGUUUUCAUUAAUCAAGAACGAAAGUUAGGGGAUCGAAGACGAUCAGAUACCGUCGUAGUCUUAACCAUAAACUAUGCCGACUAGGAAUCGGAUGAUGUUAAUUUUUAAUGACUCAUUC